AUACGGAGGGUCCGAACGUUAAUCGGAAUUACUGGGCGUAAAGCGCGCGUAGGCGGUUUGGUAAGUGGGAUGUGAAAGCCCCGGGCUCAACCUGGGAAUUGCAUUCCAAACUGCCGGACUAGAGUAUGGUAGAGGGAGGUAGAAUUUCCUGUGUAGCGGUGAAAUGCGUAGAUAUAGGAAGGAAUACCGGUGGCGAAGGCGGCCUCCUGGACCAAUACUGACGCUGAGGUGCGAAAGCGUGGGGAGCAAACAGGAUUAGAUACCCCGGUAGUCC
rnacentral:rRNA from 1 species